rnacentral:sRNA from 3 species
UAGCUCAGUUGGUAGAGCAGUUGACUUUUAAUCAAUUGGUCGCAGGUUCGAAUCCUGCACGACCCACCAAUCGUUCGGUGGAAACGAGAAUAAAGCGUGAAGGAUAACGUUGCGUCAGCAACGGCCCGUAGGGCGAGGCGAAGCCGAGUCAUCCUGCACAACCCACCA